CCACUGCUGCCCUCGCCGUCGUCAUUUUUGCCACAUGUUCCAUUUGUCUCUGGGAUCAAAGGGGUGUCUGGCCAAGGUCCAUGUAUAAGGGUUGUUUCUUUUUUGACAAUUUUUUUUUUAUAACUAUGUUGCGUUAUGAGUACGAGGUAUUUAUCGUUGUUUAAUACCCCCAAUGUUAAAGGAUUCGUUGGACAUUCAAAAUCUAUUCUACCACUAAAUAGAGAAAGAGAGUAAAAUAAAAAAUGUUUGUAUAUGAGUGAUGUGAUAGAGAAAAUAAGGUGUUGAAUGAGUG
rnacentral:lncRNA from 1 species